rnacentral:rRNA from 1 species
CCUACGGGUGGCUGCAGUUGGGAAUAUUGGACAAUGGGCGCAAGCCUGACCCAGCAACGCCGCGUGAAGGAAGAAGGCUUUCGGGUUGUAAACUUCUUUUAUCAGGGACGAAGCAAGUGACGGUACCUGAUGAAUAAGUCACGGCUAACUACGUGCCAGCAGCCGCGGUAAUACGUAGGUGGCAAGCGUUAUCCGGAUUUACUGGGUGUAAAGGGCGUGUAGGCGGGAAAGCAAGUCAGAUGUGAAAACCAUGGGCUUAACCUGUGGCAUGCAUUUGAUACUGUUGUACUUGAGUACUGGAGAGGCAGACGGAAUUCCUAGUGUAGCGGUGAAAUGCGUAGAUAUUAGGAGGAACACCAGUGGCGAAGGCGGUCUGCUGGACAGCAACUGACGCUGAGGCGCGAAAGCGUGGGGAGCAAACAGGAUUAGAUACCCUGGUAGUC